rnacentral:ncRNA from 1 species
GAUAGAGGUCGCGGAUACGAUCAGUACCCCAUGACAACGCCGGCAAGCGGUUAUGGGCGAAAGGCAAGUCCGCCGAAGUUGCGUUACGGUUGCCGCCGUAGGGCUGCUGGGACUGCGUCGAACAGACGCGGGACUGUCACAUGUUUUAUGUGGAGCGCUAUCA